GAUGAACGCUGGCGGCGUGCCUAAUACAUGCAAGUCGAGCGAACGGACGAGAAGCUUGCUUCUCUGAUGUUAGCGGCGGACGGGUGAGUAACACGUGGAUAACCUACCUAUAAGGCUGGGAUAACUUCGGGAAACCGGAGCUAAUACCGGAUAAUAUUUUGAACCGCAUGGUUCAAAAGUGAAAGACGGUCUUGCUGUCACUUAUAGAUGGAUCCGCGCUGCAUUAGCUAGUUGGUAAGGUAACGGCUUACCAAGGCAACGAUGCAUAGCCGACCUGAGAGGGUGAUCGGCCACACUGGAACUGAGACACGGUCCAGACUCCUACGGGAGGCAGCAGUAGGGAAUCUUCCGCAAUGGGCGAAAGCCUGACGGAGCAACGCCGCGUGAGUGAUGAAGGUCUUCGGAUCGUAAAACUCUGUUAUUAGGGAAGAACAUAUGUGUAAGUAACUGUGCACAUCUUGACGGUACCUACUCAGAAAGCCACGGCUAACUACGUG
rnacentral:rRNA from 1 species